UGUGUUGGGGACGUAACUCUAAUAAUACAAUUUGAGUUACGUCCCUUGGAUAUUAAUCUCCACGACAAAGUCGUCUGCUGUGAUGGCGGCAAAGAAGAAUAAUGAUGUCUGCAGCCAUGCAGUUGCAUGACUUUUUUUUUCAGUUGUUAACGCUAUUGCCAGCCCUGACGAGAGGUGUGGAAGGGGAGGAUGUUGUAUCCGGGCCCGCGGCUGUGAAGGGGGCCCGGCCUUGGUUAUCUCGAAACGCCAUUUAGAGCAAAUCGUGAAGAGUUUUCCCCUUUUAUCAAAUCCUCGGUACACCUGGUGGCUCCAGUCGACCACGUCGUCGUGAUUAGUUUUCAUGAUAUCCAGGACUGGCUAGGCUGUG
rnacentral:misc_RNA from 1 species